rnacentral:lncRNA from 1 species
ACUAUUGAACCAUGUCCUGUGAAGCAUCCAUCUUUGACUUAUCGAUCCUCUUUUCACGGGAAACGACAAAUUAGCAAACAAUUGCAUCGCAGGAGGAGAAGCCCGCGUUCCCAAGUGAUCCUCGCCAGGAGCCCCAGCUUCCUCUGGGCGGGUGUUGCCGUGAGAGGCCGGAGGGACAGCGCGGCGCCUCAGGACCCGGGGCUGCCCCCGGCCCGGACGAACGCUGCUUUUCCAAGUAUCCUGAAGGCACCGCUACGUCAUUUUAAAGAAUGGCACUCUAUACGCUUCCCGCAGCGGAGGGAGAGCCGAGCCAUCCCAGAGGCACUUCCCGAACGUUCCAGCCGGGAGACGAGCGCCAGUACCUCCCACCCCCGCCACACUCCCUGCUGCGGGUCGGGACGAGGGGGGGACAUCCCUCACGGGCGGGGCGCUCUCGUUUCGAUUCCCCCCGCGCUCUGGAUUUGUUUCGAUUCCCCCAUUCCCACUCCCACGGUGACGCGGGCGGCGGGGGCGGGCGGCGGGGCGGAGAGUUUAAGGGCGACAAGCGGAGCGCGCCCCGGCGGGGCACGGACAGGCAGGCAGGUAGGUAGAUGCUCUUCCUCGGCCACCCCUUGUCCCCCUCAGAGCCUUGUCCCCGGUACGGGGAGCUCGGCAGUCGGCCGCGGGCCGCUCCGAGCGGGAUGCCGGGGUGCGGGAGCUGCCCGCGCCCCCUGCGCCGCUCCAUCCGUGCUUGGUGCAAGGCGGGGGCAGCCGCGGCCUCUUGGGGGUGGCUUCCCAUCUCGGUGGAGCUGCUGGGAGCUUCCUGCAUGUUGGAGCAGUUCCGGAGGGGCGACGUGCUGCCCCGACGAGGAGCCUGGGUGCGGGAUUUGGCGUGUGGGCAGCGGGGGUGGCUGUGCUGGUUGGGAAGCCUGCCAGGGAAUGUGUGGGGUGGUUGAAGGAAAAGGAGAAGAGUGCAUUCUUGCUCUGGCCAGGCAUCUGGGAGUGUGUGUUGGCCUGGUAUGGUUUGCGCUGUGGAGCUGGGGGAGAUGCGAUGCCGUGUCCGUGCUUGAAAAGAAGAGGGAGAACUCCUUUAGCAUAGCCCGGAGCGAAGCAUUGUCUUCAGUGGUUUUGGAUGCUUUCCCUGAAAAGCAAAACUCUUGUACGAGGUCGUGGAGUGGUCGCUUAACAAAACAGACUUUUUCAACUGGAAAGGAGUUUGAGCACAGUGUGCACUGCAGAAGAAAAAAUGCAGAAGGAUCUCUCACCAGCUUUUGUAUUUUUUUUAAUUUUUUUUUUUUUUGUAAAUUUAGAUUUACAGAGGAUUAA